CUUUCCUCUGUCGCAAUUCUUAAAGUUGUGUUAACAUGGCCGGAAAUAAGAUUUACUUUUCUCAUUGCUGCUCUCCUUUUGGCGAUUACUAUUAAUGUCUUGAGCGUUCCGAGGAUGCAAGUGAUGGCAUCGCGAAACAUACCAUUAAAUAUGUACUCCUACAAUAUUAUGGAAGGAAGCCUACUGAUUCCUGCACUUAAUGACAGAGCUUGUCUUUUACCCUGCAGGGUAAAUACAGACUGCUCUAGUGGCACCGUUUGCAGAACUUGUGGGCCGAGUUAUACAUGUUCUCCUUAGGAAUUUUAAACAAAUUCCCAUGCUUAUGUUGUUUUCCUUUUUCAUGUUCCGCUUUCCAUCUUUAUGUGCCACCUGUGUGCUGUGAGAUAUUACAUAAGUGACUGAAUUGUGUUAUAAUAAGGUAAGUAAAAUUGUUGUUUUAUGAUAUAUCAUGUGUAUUCAGUUGCAAUAUUAAUAAUGAUGAGUGUAUUGAGUAUA